rnacentral:rRNA from 1 species
UGGGGAAUUUUGGACAAUGGGCGCAAGCCUGAUCCAGCAAUGCCGCGUGCAGGAUGAAGGCCUUCGGGUUGUAAACUGCUUUUGUACGGAACGAAAAGCUUCUGGUUAAUACCUGGGAGUCAUGACGGUACCGUAAGAAUAAGCACCGGCUAACUACGUGCCAGCAGCCGCGGUAAUACGUAGGGUGCGAGCGUUAAUCGGAAUUACUGGGCGUAAAGCGUGCGCAGGCGGUUAUGUAAGACAGAGGUGAAAUCCCCGGGCUCAACCUGGGAACUGCCUUUGUGAAUGCAUGGCUAGAGUGCGGCAGAGGGAGAUGGAAUUCCGCGUGUAGCAGUGAAGUGCGUAGAUAUGAGGAGGAACACCGAUGGCGAAGGCAAUCCCCUGGGCCUGCACUGACGCUCAUGCACGAAAGCGUGGGGAGCAAACA